UAUUAAAGUUGUUGCGGUUAAAAAGCUCGUAGUUGAAUCUGUGUCUCGCGCUGUCGGUUCACCGCCCGCGGUGUCAAACUGGCACGCCCGCGAGACGUCCUGCCGGUGGGCUCCGGCGGCCGCUCGCGCGCUCCGGCGCCGGGCGCGCCGACGUCCCGACCACGAAUCCUGCCGCGGUGCUCUUCGCUGAGUGUCGAGGUGGGCCGGCACGUUUACUUUGAACAAAUUAGAGUGCUCAAAGCAGGCCGAAAUCACGCCUGAAUAUUGUGUGCAUGGAAUAAUGGAACAGGACCUCGGUUCUAUUUUGUUGGUUUUCGGAACCCCGAGGUAAUGAUUAAUAGGGACAGAUGGGGGCAUUCGUAUUGCGACGUUAGAGGUGAAAUUCUUGGACGUCGCAAGACGGACAGAAGCGAAAGCAUUUGCCAAAAAUGUUUUCAUUAAUCAAGAACGAAAGUCAGAGGUUCGAAGGCGAUCAGAUACCGCCCUAGUUCUGACCAUAAACGAUGCCAGCUAGCGAUCCGCCGACGUUCCUCCGAUGACUCGGCGGGCAGCUUCCGGGAAACCAAAGCUUUUGGGUUCCGGGGGAAGUAUGGUUGCAAAGCUGAAACUUAAAGGAAUUGACGGAAGGGCACCACCAGGAGUGGAGCCUGCGGCUUAAUUUGACUCAACACGGGAAACCUCACCAGGCCCGGACACCGGAAGGAUUGACAGAUUGAGAGCUCUUUCUUGAUUCGGUGGGUGGUGGUGCAUGGCCGUUCUUAGUUGGUGGAGCGAUUUGUCUGGUUAAUUCCGAUAACGAACGAGACUCUAGCCUGCUAAAUAGGCGUUACUUUCCGGCAUCUCGAAGGCUCGCGUCUGCCGUCAGACGGCGCGGGCGGGUGCCUCCGCCCGAGGCGCCACGGCGUCUCCGGACGCGCGCCCCGUCCGACUGAUCGGCAGCUCGCUGUUUUUACUGCCGACGUACACAUGAUUCUUCUUAGAGGGACAGGCGGCUCCUAGCCGCACGAGAUUGAGCAAUAACAGGUUUGUGAUGCCCUUAGAUAUUCUGGGCCACACGCGCGUUACACUGAAGGAAUCAGCGUGUCCUCCCUCGCCGAGCGGUCCGGGUAACCCGGUGAACCUCCUUCGUGCUAGAGAUUGGGACUUGCAAUUGUGCCCCAUGAACUAGGAAUUCCCAGUAAGCGCGAGUCAUAAGCUCGAGUUGAUUACGUCCCUGCCCUUUAUACACACCGCCCGUC
rnacentral:rRNA from 1 species